UACGUAGGUGGCAAGCGUUGUUCGGAAUUACUGGGCGUAAAGCGCGUGUAGGCGGCUCUUCAAGUCAGACGUGAAAGCCCCGGGCUUAACUCGGGAACUGCGUUUGAUACUGUCGAGCUAGAGUGUGGAAGGGGCGAUUGGAAUUCCGUGUGUAGCGGUGAAAUGCGUAGAUAUCAGGAAGAACACCAACGGCGAAGGCAGCUCGCUGGGACGGAACUGACGCUAAGGCGCGAAAGCGUGGGGAGCGAACAGG
rnacentral:rRNA from 1 species